rnacentral:rRNA from 1 species
CCUACGGGUGGCAGCAGUGGGGAAUAUUGGACAAUGGGCGAAAGCCUGAUCCAGCCAUGCCGCGUGUGUGAAGAAGGCCUUCGGGUUGUAAAGCACUUUCAGUGGGGAAGAAAGCCUUGGGGCUAAUACCCUCGAGGAAGGACAUCACCCACAGAAGAAGCACCGGCUAACUCCGUGCCAGCAGCCGCGGUAAUACGGAGGGUGCGAGCGUUAAUCGGAAUUACUGGGCGUAAAGCGCGCGUAGGCGGUCUGAUAAGCCGGUUGUGAAAGCCCCGGGGUCAACCUGGGAACGGCAUCCGGAACUGUCAGGCUAGAGUGCAGGAGAGGAAGGUAGAAUUCCCGGUGUAGCGGUGAAAUGCGUAGAGAUCGGGAGGAAUACCAGUGGCGAAGGCGGCCUUCUGGACUGACACUGACGCUGAGGUGCGAAAGCGUGGGUAGCAAACAGGAUUAGAUACCCCAGUAGUC